UUCAGGUCAAGAAAGGCCGCUGCAGUUCAGCUCUGAGCAGGAAGUGACUCCUUCUGCCAAAAGAGUUUAAAAACCCAUCCUAUCACCACAGCCUGCGGAAGACUGAUGAUCCUAUAGAGAGAACACAGCUGCCAGAGAGAGAGAGAGAACUGGUUUCCACAAAGAGGCUGAAUGAAGCUGCUGGCAGACACAGAACCUUGAGAUCAGAGAGAAAUGCAAUGAGGAAACACAGCCAGACUAGGAUUUUGCAUAGAAUUUUGGAUGAAAGCAAAGCCUUCCACUGAAUCAGCUGGCAAAGAUUCAGUCUUUAAGUGGUGUACUUUGAAUCUCCCCUUCUGGAACACAAUGGUGCUGAGUACCUACUCAUCUGAAUACAGGAAGGGCUGAGAAGGAGAGGAAAUAUCAGCAAUCAGCAAUAAUUUAGUUAAUGUUUCAAAAUGUCAACAUCCCUUGGAACUACAUUUAUU